AUGGCCACAGCAACACUAUCUGCCUCGGGUGCAGCCAGCUGUAUUUUCAUCAUCCUAGCAGCAACCACCAUGUCCAUGGCCACCUCCUAUUCCUAUGCUAGAGAAACAUCCAGCAGGAGCUGCAUCGCGGCUGAGAGGGCGGCGCUGCUCUCCUUCAAAACCAGCAUGACAAGUGACCUUGCAAAACGACUGGACUCCUGGAGAGGCCAUCACUGCUGCCAGUGGAGCGGGGUCACUUGCAACAACCGGACAGGCCAAGUCGUCAAGCUCAGCCUCCGCAAUGCCUUCAUCAAAGAAGAUAAAAAAUUUGUUUGGUGCAUGCCUCAUGGGGAAUCCGGCGGAUUGGAGGGAAAGAUAAGUUCUUCUUUGCUUGCUUUGCAACACUUGAAGCAUCUUGAUCUAAGUGGAAACAACCUCGGGGGGUUAGGUGUGACCAUACCAAAAUUCUUAGGCUCCAUCAAGAGCUUGACAUAUCUGAACCUUGCUUGCAUGAAUUUCGAUGGGGGAGUGCCACCUCAACUUGGUAACCUCUCUAGGUUGCUCCACCUUAACCUUGAGGCCAGUGUUUUCUCUGAUACUCUUUUGCAUUCUGAUGACAUAUCAUGGUUAUCUCGCCUUGGUUUACUAAGAUCCCUUGACAUGAGUGGAGUGAACCUCAGCACUAUUCCUGAUUGGGUUAGGGUGGUCACCAUUGUUCCUUCUCUGGAAGUCCUUCAACUCAGUCAAUGUGGACUCAGUUUACAACAUGAACCCAUAGUGCAUUCAAAUCUUAGUUCACUUCAGGUGCUUGAUCUAUAUAGCAACAGAAUUGACACGUUGAAUCCAACCUACUGGUUCUGGGAUGUUCUCAUCAUCAAGGAACUUGACCUUUCAAGUAACAAAAUAGUUGGCCAACUUCCAGAUGCAAUCGGAAACAUGACAUCUCUUCAGACACUGAGGCUAGGUGGCAAUUACCUCUCAGGUGUAAAAUCUGAACUGUUCAAAAACUUGUGCAACCUCAGCUGGCUAGAGCUAUGGUCAAAUGAGAUCAACCAGGAUAUGUCAGAUUUUAUGGAGGGGUUUCCGGCGUGUACAAAGAGUAAAUUGUGGUCCUUAGAUCUGUCUGCUACCAACCUUACUGGCAGGAUUCCAAGCAGUAUUAAGCAGUGGAAACAUUUAAGUGAUCUUCAACUUUCUGAUAAUAGGCUUGUGGGGUCAAUACCUUUGGGACUUGGCAAGAUGACUAAUCUACGGUCAUUGAUUCUAAACAACAACCAGUUGAAUGGUUCUGUAUCAGAGGAACAUUUUGCAAGUCUAGUGUACUUGAUGGAACUGAGUUUAUCUCACAACCCUGUACACAUCACUAUCAGCUCAAACUGGAUCCCCGCAUUUAAUCUGGAAGUGGCUCAUUUUGCAAGUACCAAAAUGGGACCUCAUUUUCCAUUGUGGCUUAAAGGACAGAAGGAUAUUUGGGACCUUGACAUUUCAGAUACAGGCAUAGUUGAUCUUGUCCCUGUUUGGUUUUGGACUGUAUUCUCCAAUGUCAGCUAUGUAAAUAUCUCUUGUAAUCAAAUAAGUGGUCGGCUGCCAGCAACACUGGAAUUUAUGACUUCUGCACAAAUGCUUGACCUCAACUCAAAUGACUUCACAGGUUUGCUGCCACUGCUACCAGAAUCGUUAUUGUUCUUAGAUAUCUCCAGGAAUUCUUUAUCGGGGCCACUUCCCCAGGACUUUGGAGCAACAAUGCUUAGAGAGCGUGUAUUGUUCGCAAACCAUAUCAAUGGAACAAUUCCAAUAUAUGUAUGUCAACUGCAGUAUAUGGAAGUGUUGGAUCUUUCAGAAAACCUUCUAGUAGGACAACUUCCCCAAUGUUCAAAAGGUAGAGAUGAUAAGGAAGAACUGAACACAACAGUAGAUCCCGGAAACAGGCUAUUGUCGGCUCUGAUCUUGCACAACAACAACCUGUCUGGCAAAUUCCCUGAAUUUUGCAAUACAGUCCACUUUUGA
rnacentral:rRNA from 1 species